UUCUGUUUCUGUUCUGGUGGGGGCAGAAGAGGACGCUUCCUUGCACAAGUUGCAUCUCACUCACAGAAGUUUAACAUGAAGACUGUCCUGCUCGUCACUGCUCUUCUCCUGAUGAAUUUGAUGACUGUAAUCUGUCAGGGUCCAUCUGAAAAGAAAAACUCAACAGUUAAAUCCAACUCUAACCUGGGCACACCCUGCUGUGUCCCAGUUUCUCUUUUGCUGGUGUUUGCCUUGGCAGCAAUUUACCUCCUCCGAGCAAAAUGAGCCCCUGCACUUCACUCCCCAGAGAGAUGCCAACGCUGCCUUCUGCCUGUCACCACCUCAGCCUCUCCUGCUGGGCACCCCACUGCAGUCUGCCAGUCCGCAGAACCCAGCUAGCAUAACUGCUCCAGUUGAAGUCUUCCCGCAACACACCCACUGCGCCCUUCUCUUCGCCGCCAUCGGCUUCUUUCCUCGUUUCCCAUCAGAGCCAUUCAUUCCACCAACUGCGAUGGAAUCCCGGCAGCAGAGUCCAGCUUCGCAUGAAGGUUCCAUUAGGAUCACAUUGGAGAGGCAGAUGCAUGUCUCACCACAACACCUGAUUGAUUGAGCAGCUCCUGUGCAGAAUGGGCCUCCCCAAGGAAAAGAGACUGAGAUUGCAGCAAAGGGUGUAUUCUGUUGCAUGAUUGUGUAUGUAUUGCACUAAUCUGAAGGUCCCCAGGCCUAGCCAUUGGAAGACAGAUCCCCAUUCCAUGAAAACAAGUUCUGAUGCUUUGAGAAAUUAAUGUGAAUAUAAAUUCUUUGGAGUCUUUCUGAUCUCUACAGAGUGGCAGCCAACUCAACCUAAUAAAAUGAAAGACAGGCUUCCUUAC